rnacentral:misc_RNA from 1 species
GAUGAAGAACGUAGCGAAAUGCGAUAAGUAAUGUGAAUUGCAGAAUUCAGUGAAUCAUCGAAUCUUUGAACGCACAUUGCGCCCGCCAGUAUUCUGGCGGGCAUGCCUGUCCGAGCGUCAUUUCAACCCUCGAACCCCUCCGGGGGGUCGGCGUUGGGGAUCGGCCCUGCCUCUUGGCGGUGGCCGUCUCCGAAAUACAGUGGCGGUCUCGCCGCAGCCUCUCCUGCGCAGUAGUUUGCACACUCGCAUCGGGAGCCCGGCGCGGUCCACUGCCGUAAAACCCCCCAACUUUUUAUAGUUGACCUCGAAUCAGGUAGGACUACCCGCUGAACUUAAGCAUAUCAAUAAGCGGAGGA